UUCCUGGUUGGCUUUCGGACAAACUACUUCAUUAUUUUCUGUCUCUGGCACAAUGGUUUUGUUCGGAAGGAUGACUGCACCAGAACAAGCAAACAGAACAAACAGAAUAUACAGUUAAGGUCUAAUGCCUCUUUUUCUGUUUCUCACAUUCUUCUUUCAUGGCUAUCACUCUUGUGUUUUGUAAUCCUGCUCUUUUCCUCUCUGUGGAAGACCAUGUGAAUUCUGCUCUUCUUUCUCACACCUGUAUCUGAGGGCUCAUUUGUUAGUUUGAAAUGGCGUUUGUGCCUUUUCUAGUUAUGCAGCUAUCUCGGUCAUGAAGUAAUCUCGAAAGUAAAUCAGCUGAAUUUGCUGCCUGAACAAAGAAAAGCCCAAGAGCUCCUUAUCAAGUGGUUCUCCUUUAUUGCAGCUGUGAAUCUGAGGCCUGUGAACAGCAUACUGUGCCAGAUAAGCUCAAAUCAGCACAUGGAACAGCCACGUGGAUAUUCAGAAACACAACUACACAGCACAGCCAGUUUCCUUCAGUACAUGCUCACGGAGCUCGGCUGCCUCCACUUCUCCUCGGGCUGAGGAUUCACCUUCCUUUUGGCACACUGUCACCGGAGUUGUUUCAGGGAUAAUGGGACAUUUUCUUACAUUCUUAUUUCCAGUAGCAUAGAGUUAAAACAGUUUCUUCUAAUUUUAGCUGAGUGUGAACUGAAAAGCAGAAAUUUAUUGCCUGGAGGCCCAUAUCUAUUUGACUGACCUAUGACCCCAUUAGUACAUGCUGCUACUAUACUUUAUGGCAUUCCACACCUGUAUUGUGCUGCUCUUGACAUCAGCAUCACUUAAUAUGAGCAGAGACAUUUGUAUGUUAAUGACCAGAAUAUCUGAAGAAGUUAAGUAGAUGAUUAAAGAUAUUGCUAGUUUUGUUAGCUCUCCAGAGGUUGAGUCCAUGAUAAUUUUUGCUGUUCUUCCAGUGAAAUCUCCUUUAAAAUCUCUUUUUCUCCUAUUAAAUCCAACAGUUGUGGUAUAGGUUUUGUAGACUGAAAAACAAAAAAGUAAUGGAAGAGGGAAUAUCUGUAAAAAUAAAUAUGUUUCUAUCUGAAGCUUUUAUUUUAUU
rnacentral:lncRNA from 1 species